AUUUUGGAGCCGUAUCGGAAGCACAAGUGUCAGGGGCUGAAAGGCCGCCUUCUCCUGCGGGCUAACGGUGUGGGCGACAGCCCGCACAUUCAAAUGAGGGAGCGAUUAGACCGCGCUUGCUUCUGAAGACGGAUUUCUUGAGACUUUUAUGCGAGUGUGAGGGCCAGCAGGUGCACAUUUGAAGCUCAGUGGGAAGGAAGUGUUUUCCAAGCAACAGGAGACAGCAGAUGCAGACAGGGUCCAAUUACUGCUGCUUACGGCUGAUCACGCCAUUCACUUAUGUGUGGAUACCUGGCUUCUGGUCUCAGGCACCUAGUAUGGGGCUAUGCACAUGAGGUGGUGUCUCACUAUGUUAGGCCAGGUUGGUCUCCAACUCCUGGCCUCAAGUGAUCCUCCCCAUCCAGCCUCCCAAAGUGCUGGGAUUACAGGCAUGAUCUACUGCACCUGGCCUGCAACCAUCCUUUUAUCCCCCUGAUUAUUUUCAAUGUGUUGUUGGUUGAAUCCACAAAUGCA
rnacentral:lncRNA from 1 species